rnacentral:rRNA from 1 species
AUUGAACGCUGGCGGCAGGCCUAACACAUGCAAGUCGAACGAGUGGCGGACGGGUGAGUAAUGUCUGGGAAACUGCCUGAUGGGGGGGGAUAACUACUGGAAAGGGUGGCUAAUACCGCAUACCAUCGGAGUGGCCCAAAUGGGAUUAGCUAGUAGGUGGGGUAAAGGCUCACCUAGGCGACGAUCCCUAGCUGGUCUGAGAGGAUGACCAGCCACACUGGAACUGAGACACGGUCCAGACUCCUACGGGAGGCAGCAGUGGGGAAUAUUGCACAAUGGGCGCAAGCCUGAUGCAGCCAUGCCGCGUGUAUGAAGAAGGCCUUCGGGUUGUAAAGUACUUUCAGCGGGGAGGCGUUACCCGCAGAAGAAGCACCGGCUAACUCCGUGCCAGCAGCCGCGGUAAUUC